rnacentral:rRNA from 1 species
GAUGAACGCUGGCGGCGUGCCUAAUACAUGCAAGUCGAGCGAACGGACGAGAAGCUUGCUUCUCUGAUGUUAGCGGCGGACGGGUGAGUAACACGUGGAUAACCUACCUAUAAGACUGGGAUAACUUCGGGAAACCGGAGCUAAUACCGGAUAAUAUUUUGAACCGCAUGGUUCAAAAGUGAAAGACGGUCUUGCUGUCACUUAUAGAUGGAUCCGCGCUGCAUUAGCUAGUUGGUAAGGUAACGGCUUACCAAGGCAACGAUGCAUAGCCGACCUGAGAGGGUGAUCAGCCACACUGGAACUGAGACACGGUCCAGACUCCUACGGGAGGCAGCAGUAGGGAAUCUUCCGCAAUGGGCGAAAGCCUGACGGAGCAACGCCGCGUGAGUGAUGAAGGUCUUCGGAUCGUAAAACUCUGUUAUUAGGGAAGAACAUAUGUGUAAGUAACUGUGCACAUCUUGACGGUACCUAAUCAGAAAGCCACGGCUAACUACGUGCCAGCAGCCGCGGUAAUACGUAGGUGGCAAGCGUUAUCCGGAAUUAUUGGGCGUAAAGCGCGCGUAGGCGGUUUUUUAAGUCUGAUGUGAAAGCCCACGGCUCAACCGUGGAGGGUCAUUGGAAACUGGAAAACUUGAGUGCAGAAGAGGAAAGUGGAAUUCCAUGUGUAGCGGUGAAAUGCGCAGAGAUAUGGAGGAACACCAGUGGCGAAGGCGACUUUCUGGUCUGUAACUGACGCUGAUGUGCGAAAGCGUGGGGAUCAAACAGGAUUAGAUACCCUGGUAGUCCACGCCGUAAACGAUGAGUGCUAAGUGUUAGGGGGUUUCCGCCCCUUAGUGCUGCAGCUAACGCAUUAAGCACUCCGCCUGGGGAGUACGACCGCAAGGUUGAAACUCAAAGGAAUUGACGGGGACCCGCACAAGCGGUGGAGCAUGUGGUUUAAUUCGAAGCAACGCGAAGAACCUUACCAAAUCUUGACAUCCUUUGACAACUCUAGAGAUAGAGCCUUCCCCUUCGGGGGACAAAGUGACAGGUGGUGCAUGGUUGUCGUCAGCUCGUGUCGUGAGAUGUUGGGUUAAGUCCCGCAACGAGCGCAACCCUUAAGCUUAGUUGCCAUCAUUAAGUUGGGCACUCUAAGUUGACUGCCGGUGACAAACCGGAGGAAGGUGGGGAUGACGUCAAAUCAUCAUGCCCCUUAUGAUUUGGGCUACACACGUGCUACAAUGGACAAUACAAAGGGCAGCGAAACCGCGAGGUCAAGCAAAUCCCAUAAAGUUGUUCUCAGUUCGGAUUGUAGUCUGCAACUCGACUACAUGAAGCUGGAAUCGCUAGUAAUCGUAGAUCAGCAUGCUACGGUGAAUACGUUCCCGGGUCU